rnacentral:ncRNA from 1 species
UAAAGUCUUGGUCCUGAACCUAUUAUUACCUGUGACUUAAUCUAUACAUGCAAGUCUCUACACAACGGUGAAAUCCCCUAUAACACAAAUAGAACCGGCAUCAGACUCUCAACCACAACGCCAAGCAUACGCCACACCCACACGGGCAUACAGCAGUAAUUAACAUUGGGCUAUAAGUGAAAACUUGACCCAGAAACAAUCACAUAGGGCCGGUUAAUUUCGUGCCAGCGACCGCGGUUAUACGAUAGACCCAAGAUAAUACAUAACGGCGUAAAGCACGACCAGAAUAAGUCUUACCACUAAGGAUUAAAAUAGAACCUAGCUGUAAAACGCCAAGGCAAAACUAAAUACCUUAUCCCUAAUCACAAGACCUUUUUAACUCGUGAAAACCGGGGCACAAACUAGGAUUAGAUACCCUACUAUGCCCGAACGUAACACGACACACCACCGUCCGCCAAAUAACUACGAGUACAAACUUAAAAUUUAAAGGACUUGACGGUAUUUCACACUCAACCUAGAGGAGCCUGUCUACUAACCGAUAACCCACGAUUAACCCAACCGCUUCUAGCCCCCAGCCUAUAUACCACCGUCGCCAGCCUACCUUAUAAAAGAAACAAAGUGAGCUAAACAGUAAUACACUAAAACGACAGGUCAAGGUGUAGCUAAUGAAUCGGAUUAGGAUGGGCUACAUUUUCUAACCCAGACUAUACGAACCAGGCCAUGAAACAAGCCUUCGAAGGCGGAUUUAGUAGUAAGCCGAGAACAUAAUACUCAACUGAAACCAAUGCAAUGAAAUGCGUACACACCGCCCGUCAUCCCUGUUUACAUACCUAACCAAAAACAUAUAAAACCCAAACCUAAUCUGAAACAGGGCAAGUCGUAACAUGGUAAGCGUACUGGAAAGUGCGCUUAGAAA